ensembl:miRNA
GACCUAGGCUAGGGGUUCUUAGCAUAGGAGAUCUUCCCGUGCCAAGAACUCC